GAGAGUGGGCAGACGUGGCAGGAUAUGCGGGGUGACGAGACGAGCCCCACCGCUGCCAGCCCGCCGCCCACAGACGCCCCAGCACCCACUCCUCCUCCAGGAGCCCCGGCGCCUUGGCCCCUCGCCUGGCUAGACCGGAUCGUCAGGGAUGUUCCCAGCAAAACCAGAAACUGCUCGCAUGCCCAUCGGCAGGGGAACUGUUAAAAGAACUAAGGCUCAUCCUUUAUAAGAAAAAACACCAUGAAGCAUUUAAAAGGAGUCAGGCGGAUCUAUGUGCGACAGGGAGGUCUCCCGGCAUGUGGGGAAGAGCAAUUUCCAGAGCAAGACACAUGGAGUGGGACCCGUGAUGGCAUUAGAAACGCCGCGCUGUGCGCAGGCCGCUGUUCCGGGCGUCAGCGUGUUACCUGGCGAGUGGGCAAGGCGACCUCGGACGCUGAGCGGGACGGAAGGUACCCGGAGAGGAGAGGCAGCCCGCGCCGCCGCUGGCUGUCGAGCUCCGUGGUGACUCGUAUUUGUGGGUUACUUGAAUGCAUGUGUAAAUAUUUUUAAGAUCACGAGGUCACGAAAGCGAAUUCCCGCCCACGACUCGGCAGGCCCGCGUAGCUCCCUGGCCCGUGGGCCCCGCCAGCGCCUGCGGGCUGCCCCCGCCCUCAGCCGCUCUCCCGAGCACUCUCCGCGGUCCGACCUAAGGCCACGCAGCCGUCAGCUCUGUGGGCACAACCUUCCAUCAGCCGUUCUCGCUCUGAUCCCAUCAGCUUUGUCAUGGCUGCUCCCGCGGCAGCAAGAAGCCAAGAGCGGGGGACAGGUCGGGCGGCCGGGAGUCCCGCCUCUCAGGCCACAGCCCCCUAGGGCCCGUAGAAACUGCUUCUUUCCAGAAUCACGCAGCCAUAAGUCUGCUGCUCUCUGCGGAAGAAAGAGCCUGAACCAGCUCUGUCCUGUGUCUGGCGGGCUGGGCGACAAGGGAGGAGAGGCCUGGCCCUGCACUCAGGAGUCUGUCGGCGGCCUUGGAGGCUCCCCUGGCGCGACAGGCGGCGCCAGAGUGCAGACACUGGCAGGACUGGGCGCCGAGCCUCAGGGAGGGACAGUGACUGCCCCGGCCCGAGCCAGUCUGCAAGACCCAGCCCCACGCUCCCACCCCAGCUCUGAGGUCUGGCUUCUCUGCGUCCUUCCUGAGCGGCUCCCAACGGCAGAAGAAAGUCCAGAGGCGCCGGCAGAAGGCGACGGGCAGGGCGCAGGGCCAGGGGAAGGCGGAGUGCGCACGUCCCCGCAGCGGCCCAGAGAAAAUAGUGAUUUUUCUGGCCAGUAAAGCCAAAUUCCAUGAAAGCUACAACUCCAGACUGAGAGAGUCCAUCAGUGUUUCUCGGUGGUCAGCCUGCAGUCUCCAGAGAGUGCCAGUGGCUCAGCCCUAGGACAGCGGCUGCAAUCCCAGCUGCAGGAGCACGAGGACAGAGGAGCCACACACUGGGCAGAUGGGCCACUGAGGAUCCAGCAGGGCAGGAUGGGCCUUUUGUCUGCACUCAUCCCAGAUCGGAUCAGCCUGCUUCCACGUGCAGGGAAAGCCCAGGACCCGGAUGGGGCAGCCCUGUCUCCUGCAGGAGCGCUGCCUGGAUUGGGCGCUGCGGCUCCUACACCCAGGGACAGAACCACGACCACGCGUGUGACACCUCCAAGGACAUCUGGUCUCCCGCUCCUCUGUCUCUCUUGGCCACCAACUCGCCUGUGCUCCCCAGGGCUCCAGUGCUGUCCCGCCAAGGACGGCCCUGCGACCUCGCCCCGCGGACUCGCACCCAUCCAUUUUCUGCAGCUGCAGCCCCGCUUCUCCCCAGAGGCGGAGUGCCCUCACCUCUCCCCUUCCACUGCGCACAGCCCAGCUGAGCCCUCCCCUCCCCCUCCGCCCUCCCGCCCCCAGGCUCCCUCUCCUCUCACAUGGCCCAGCCACCCAGCAGGAGCCAGAAGCCCCCUCUCUGGUGCCCGCCCACAGCCAGCUCACCUCCAGGUCCGCUCAGCUAAACUCCCAUGUCAGGCCCCUCCUGUCACCUGGCUCUCACCUGGAGGCUGGUGGCUGCUCCUUCCCUGUGGGGUCUGGUCCUCCCGGCUCUGCCCCUCUGGUCUGUCUGGCAGGCAGGAAACUUGACCUUGCCACUCCCUGCUGAAACCCUUCCAAAGGCUCCAAAAAUGCUCAGGACCAGAGCCAGCUCCUUGCCAAUACACGCAGAGCCUUUGGCUACCCUUCGAACUCUUCCCUCCUCCCUAGUUUCAUUUUCCGCUGCUCCCUCCUCACACCUGUGCUCGGAUUGCAGCCCAGGGCAGGCUGCGCUUCCCGUGAAGUCCUUUGCACAAGCUGCUGCCUGGACUUGGCAAACCUCUCCAGGGCCCUCACCUGAGAGGUCUGUUCAUCCUCAGUGCCGUCCAGUAGAUUGUCCUGUGAGGCGGAAAUGCUCUGUCUCUGCACUAUCCAAUAUGGCGGCCACUAGCACCUUGGAAUGUGGCUCGUGUGACUGACUAAUUGAAUUUUGUAUUUCUUAAUUAACGUGAAUGUAGCCAGUGGCUACCAUAUUGAAUAGUGCACAGCUCCAAGGUCACACCUCUUCCAGGAAGCCUUCCCUGAACUCCCAGGCCUGUGCUAGACGUCACCAUAAUGCUUCAUUUUCUAAGGUUUUUAUCUUAUUUACCUGUCUUCCCAACUGGCCAGUGUGUUCUUUUAGGGGUUACCUCUUAUUCAUCAUGGUAUCCCCAGCUCCCUGCUCUUAGUAGGUGCUCAAUAGCUAUGCAGAGUAAAUGGAUUUUUUGAACCCAGAUCUAGGCAGAGACUGGACCUUCCAUAAUGACCAAAUCCAAACUGACUGUGCUGAAGAUCUGAGUAAGUGUGCGUGUGCGUACGUGUGCAGCGAGUUCACGUGGAGGCACGUGUGCACAUCCCUCUGACCUUGGCAGGACCGUGCAGGCCCCCACCCCAACCCCCCCAGCUGGGGACAGCUGCCCCACACACAGAUGCUGGCGCCCUGGGCUGGACAGGAAGUGCGCCUCUGAGUUGGCCUUUGUGAAAAUUAGACCGUUUUCAUUCCUGUUUCUUAGAUGCUUCAUCUGCAUUGCAGAUGAGUCUUCAGAGUUUGAAAAGAGAAGCUUCCAGUCCUCUGUGUGGGACCACCUGCUCUCUCAGCUCCCAUUCUGGAAACAAGCCCCUGCAGGCCAUUUAAAUGAUCCUCCACCUCCUAAGUCAAAGGCUCACUUCUUGU